rnacentral:lncRNA from 10 species
GUGGAAACGAAAGUAUACCCCACAGGGUGGGAGUAGGCGCCAGCGGCUCCAGAGCACUGGUUAUAGAACGUUCUGGGGUUUAAAUACCCUUUAGAGGUUUCCCAGUAGUUAGUUGGUUUACACCCUAUGUAAAUAAAGGAGUGGCCCACAACCAGUCUAAUGGGUUGUGGAAGGUGACGAGUCAGACUGAAGUGAAGUUACCAAGUAAUACCCUAUGCAGAUGUCUGAUUGGUUGUAGGAAGGGGACCAAUCAGAGGUACUUGCCAUUUCUCAUCUGCGAUGCAGAAAGGGGUGCGGGUUGCAAAGGGAGUAGCCUCUGUUUUUUUGUUACUUAAGCAUGGGAAGUUGGAGUUUUCCUUUUGAUUCAUUUCUAGGAAGUCGGUGCAAACUGGCCCUGCCUCCAGACCCUAUUCUCCAGCAUGAAUUGCAUCUCAUCAAUGUCAUUUUCACUUUUGAUGAUGAAGGCUGAUUACCUUGUAGAGAGAGAAGUCAUAGGGAUGUUAUGUCCAUGGAGCGUGGCCUUAAGUGGACCUAUUUCUUGGGGUCUCCAGAUCUGUUUGGAACUUCAAAAUUAUUCAAGAAAAGGUGUCUCAUCAGCAGAAGACUGAACAGUUUUACCUAAUGGUAUCUUGAGUAGAAAUGUAACCUAGAAGAGUUUAUUGAAAAUCCUCCUGGCUGAUGCUUAUUUCUUGGAAUCCUGAGUCUUACACUUGCUACCUAAUAAAAAGAAGGAAGAUUCUUCUCAGCAAGGUGAGAAAACAGGCUGAGAGAAGUUGGAAGAAACACAGGAGCAGGGAUCCCACAUUAGACAGUCUGAUUCCAGAGAUCAGGACCUUGGCUGCAACACUAUAUGGGCUCUGGGAAAUCCAAGAGGCCUGUUUUCACCUGCACAGCAUUUCUACCUGCCCAUGAAAGGCAGACUUACGCACUUUGAUGUCAAAGACCAACCAGAAAGGUAACUUUAGAGAUGCUCACCCGAACGCCCCCUGUGCACUGCCUCUCUUCAAUGAUCCUGACCUCAUCGUACCUUUUGGGAGUGGCUCUGAGUCUGUGUUUCCACCACUGACUCCUUUGAAGAAGAUCGUCAGCCUUGGGUCUGGAAUGUAGCCCAUUAAUGUUCCCCUUGACCUUUGGUGGAAACGCUGCCAUUUCCUGUCCUGGUUCCUCAUCUUCUCUCAUGUGCCUAAACACUGACCCCAAGUGGGAGAGAAGAUACAGUCAAGUUCUUCGCCUUGACACUGUUCUCUGCAAAGUCAAAGUCACUUUCAGUCUUGAUUUUAACCAGAGCUUAUUUCCUCCCACCAGUGUUGGGAUGAAAGUCAAAGAUGAAGUGAAAGACAGAUUGUGUAACUUUUAUUUUUAAAAGAGUGUUUAAUUUUGGAAGGUAUGAUUAAUAUUUCAAUACUGCUUCUAAUGGCUUCAUUUAUUUUUUUUUCAGCCAAUAAGAAGUGAGAAAUCCUGUCUCCGUAGCCAAAAUCUCAUAUAAUUCCUCCCCAGCAAUACAGAAGUCUCUCUGUUGCUACCUAGAGUAAAAAUGUCAAUACACAUCAUGUAUUAAAAUUCACCUGUAUUUUCUCAACACCUUUUCGAUAUCUUUCCAAAUUGCUUUAGUAAUCUCUGGCAUCAAGAACUGGUAAGAGUAUGUGGCAUUUUCCUUCCUGUUUGAGUAACACCUAUUAAGAGAGGUGGCAAUUAAAAUCAAAUUGUAAUUUUUAAACCUUAAGGGAAGCUAUUGCAGUAUUGCUAAGAACAUUCAGUUACCGGUAUGUUAGCUAACACCUACACCCGCUGCGAUUAGCGAUGAAACAAACUUCUACGGACCUUAAAAAACCAAACGUCUCCUUUAAAAUAAUCAUCCUAUGAGUAAACAGUCCUGUUCACACAUGUAUAUGAGAUGUCAUCCUUUCUUUGCCGUUACAGCGCUCCGCCUUGCCAAUGCUGCUGAGCACUGACUCACUCACAGGGCAUUUGGAAGGUGGGCGAUUUGUUCCUGCAGCAUCAUUGCACUCCAAAUGUGCUGAGAAUGGAUGUAGCCUCCAAUGCUGCCGUGCCAGCAGCAGCUUAGAUCAGAGGGAUCAGCAGAGGCUAUUGUCCAUUCCUCAGCAAUGCACUUGACCUUGAGAGCUAUAUAGAAUGGAAGGAAACCCACUAAAGCCAAAUUCAUGUCCUAAGAUUUAUAUCCUUUUUAGGGAUCCCACCCCUGGAACGUAAUUCAGGUCCAAAUCCUCUUCUUCUCCUUUCCAACUGCCACUGCCUUAGAGUAGUGGACUUAUCUCCACCUGCACAUUUUAGAGUCACUUGGGGCAAGGCAGGGGGCAGACGUUAAAACAUACCAGUGUCAAGGUACCAUCCCAGAGACUCUAAAUUAAUUAGUCUGUGUUGUGCCUGAAAUGAGUACUUUUUAAUACCUCCCUAGGUAUUUCUAAAGUACAGCUAGGACUGGAAACCACUGGAGUCCAGCACAAGCCUUUCUCAUUUCUUUCCUGGUUUAUGGCAAAUGCCUCCUGAAUGCCCUUCAUCUUUUGUGCCUGAGGCUAAUCACCUUUAAUGUGUUAUAAUGAUUGAAUUAUUUUUGUAUUAAUCCAUGUUUGAUGUAGAAAAAUGAGAAAAUAAAAAGCAGAAUGAAAAAAACUACAAUCAGAAAAAUGAUACAAUAUUUUGUCUUUCCUACUGGAUUUUUUAUGUACAUAAAAUAACUAUUUUCAAAAAUGAUAUCCUGCUAUAAUUCUCUGUAACCUUCUAUUCUUUGUUAACAAUAUAUUAUGGGUAAAUUUCCAUGUCAGUAAGUAUAGAUUCAUAUUAUUUUUAAUGGCUACAUAGCGUCUGAGUGGGUGGCAGUGCCUUUGUAUUUUUUAACCAAUCCUUUGUUUCAGGGUUAGGCAUCUACAUUGUUUUGUGGGUUUUUGUUGUUGUUUGUGUUGUUGUGUUUUUUUGUAUUUUGUUUAGCUAUUACAAACAACAUUGAAAUGAGCCAUUUGGAAAAAAAUUUUUUUGUGAGUUGGCCAACUUCCUUAGGAUAUAUUCCUAAAAGUAAAUUUGUUAAAUCAGUAUAUCUAUUAAUUUUUAAGAAUUCUGACAUUUGUUACAAAUUGGUCUUCUAAACCACUCAUAUACAGGUAGUACUUAAGAGUCUGUUCUUCUAGUCCUUCACUAACGCUGGCAUUACUGUAUUCUUUUUAAAUCUUUGUUUAAUCUGGUAAGUAAAGAAUGAUAGCUACCUAUUUUAAUUUGUUUAGAUUACUAGUGAGUUUGAACAUUUUUCAUCUGUUGUUUUUUGGGGGAAACUUUUGAAUAUCUCCUUUUGCAAAUAUCUUAUUUUUGUUCUAUAAGGCAUUUUCUUUUUCUUGUUUGUAUGUAUGAGUCAUUUCUAUAUCAAGGCUAUUGAAUAUCCCCCAAUUUGUCCUUUUUACUUUUUUUAAAACUUUUAUCCUUUUAACUUUAGUGGUUUUGUGGUUUACUUUUAAAUCUUUAUAUAUUCAAAUCUAUCCCUCUUUUCUGUGUGGUUUUAACUUUUCGAUGCCAUAUGUUGAAAGCUUUUCCCCAAGUUAAAAGUAUAUACUUACCUAUGUUUUUUUCUAGUACUUUUAUGGUUUUAUUUUUUAUGUAAUUAAAUCUUUGUGGCUAACUCUUAAAGUACAAAUAUGAUCAUGCCACUCCCUAAGACCUUUGCCGUCUCCCCAUUGUGUAUGUGAUACAGUUCAAGUGUCCUCAUGCCCCACACAUUAUCUGGUCACCCUUUAGCUUGCAUGUCCCUCUCAUCUUUGCUCAUAGAGCUCUUUUUUUCUCUGCAAUACUUUUUUCUCUGCAAUACACUAUGAGUCUUUUUCUCCAUGUAUAAAUAGGCUAUUACUUCAAGUUCCAUGAAAAUAGAGAACAUGACUGCUUUGAUAAUCUCAGCACCCAACAUAGUAUCUGGAAGAAAAUAUAUACUCAAUAUUUGUUAAAAGAAUGAAUAAAACAUUACCUCCCCUGGUAACCUACCUCCAAUGUCUCUGGGCAGAAUCUGUCCUUUUUCUAUUGCAUUCCUAAAACACAUCAUUCUGAUCACUGUUAUCAUAUGAUGUCAUCAUAUUGUAUUAUAAAUCAUUGAAUCUUUGCCUGUAAAUCAGGCUCAGCUCACAUUUUUAUCCCUUGCUCCUUAGCAAGGUUGGGGCAUGCAGUGGGUACUCAAUACAUGCUGUUGAACUCAGAUGAAUGAAUUCUGACGAGGUCUCCCUGUCUUGCAGUACUGCCUUGGCAUGUCCUUGUGUUAAGAAGUAAAGACCUUGACAGUCUGUAAAAAGACAACUAAAUAAUUAGGUGACAAUACAUGUGCCCAGGUAAAAUCUACAGUCAUUAAUAUGGGGUUAAAAUAGUGCACAAUAAAAAUAGUGUCUCAGAGUAAUAGUGAAGCCAUGAUAGUAAUGCCUUCUGGCACCUGCUUCUGGGGCUAUCCAUUAUGUCAUUAAGAAUCAGAGCAUCAAUCUGGCCCAGAGCCCUAUCCCUGAAUAAAUUAAAAUUUUUAAAAAGACCCUCCAGAAUUAGUAGAGAAUAAUAGUAAGCUAACCAACUAACUUUUCUCCAAGAAUGUUGUAGCUAAGCAUUACUACGCUUCCUUUCAACAGGCAGUGAGAAUUGAGUUACUCAUACUGUUCCCCUUGGCUGCCUUUAACUUAGGGGUUUGAUACAGAUUUUUUUCCUAACCUUCAACUUUUUUUCUCCUUUUAAAAUAUUUUUACAGCUUUAUGAUAUGUCUGCCUUUCAUUACAAGCCACCUCAAAUCCCUUUAGACAGUGGAGUUUCUAUUAUAAAUAAUAAUAAAAAAAUUUCCUCUGCCUCAAUUCCCUCUGUCCCAAGUGCUCAAUGCAUGAACAACAUAAACUGAGGCUUUAAGAAAUAGGAUUUCAGCCCUUUGAGAAAGCUGUAUUACAAAUUGGUUCCACUUCAUAGCUUGGAAGAAAAUUGGAGUUUUCUUUGGAUGACAUCAAUGAUCAUAAUCUCUGACAUUUAACUGACCUUGGGCAUGUCAUUUUACCACUUCAAGUUUCAGUUUUCUUAUCUGCAAAGCAACAAUGCGGGUGGGUUCCUUCCCACCCCAGAACUGUAUCUAAUCAUCUUUUCCAGGAAGAUAGGGACAAAAAGACCACCCAGGCAGCACAGGGAAAGGAAUCUCCCCUUCUAUCUGGCCCCGUAACCCUACCUUCUGUCAGUUACUCUGCUGCAGAUAAAGGGUAGGGGAGUCAAUUCCCAGCCACAUACCACCCCAGGGCUGCUCUGCCAUUCAUAGCAGCUCCCCACCAUAAAGAAGCUGGAUGAUGAGCUGACCAAGCGUCCUGACUGGACUGCUGUUUAUGGCAUUGUGCUUUCAUUUGUGUGCCCAAGAGGCGACUAGCAAUAGGUUAACUUGGUGCUCCUACAAAGGAAAGUCUUUUGCUUUUCUUUCUCAACUAUAUCUUAGGUUUUAAUUAAUUAAAUUAAUAUGGGGCUUAAUAGCAGACAUGUUUUGGACCUUGGAGCCUGUUUACCCUCAUCUUACCCAAGGGGCACUGUGGACCCAGGCUAAGACGCUGCCAAAGAGUUUUCUGUGUCUAGGAGACAAAGCACACCCUGUAGCCUUCAGGAGUGCUGGGUUAUCCCAAGCCCACCAAAGAGCCUGCAAAGAGUGUGCUAGCAGGACUGGGAACAUUCGUCUCCUAGCUUUCUCUAAGAAGCAGGCACACUCUCCUCUUCACACUGUGGCCUAGGUCUGAUCAAAGGCGGUAGAGAAGGUAGCUUUCCCUUCCACAUCUGACCAACAAAAGCAGCCCCGGUGGGGGGAGACUGGAAGUGAGUAUCGCAGUGGUUCCUCAGCUUACCUUAUACCUUCCAGAUAAGUCAGUGAUACAUGCCACAGGGCUGACUGUAUUUUGAGGCCCUCCCAUAGCUCCAGAAGCCAGCCCAUUCUAUCAGGCUGUACUCGGGACAAAGGAGGCAGCCCCAGCCCAGGUACUUAAGUAGACACAGCAUUUGGCCUCAAGGUUAAGAGUACAGUCAGUGGUCCUAAACUGCCUUUUUUGUAGCUUGGUUAUGGUAACUUGAGUGCAAUUGUUUAACCUCUCCCUAUCUCAGUUUCUUCAUCAGAGAAAGGGGGCUGCUGUGAUAGUUGGUACGUACGGAGUAUAUGGAACAGUGCCUGGUAGGGAAUAAGUCCCGUAAAAGUUAAUCAUUUUAUAUACAUCAAAUAAGUCUGUUCUACCUCUUUUGUCCCCCCAGACGAAGCUCAUAGAAUGAUUCACAUUGAUAUUCAUGUUUAAGCCUUAAGCCUUUUUUGUUCUUCUAAGACUUCCUUUGGUGGUGUACAUUUUGAUUGUAUCUGCUGGAAUAACAAUGCUGAUGGUUGGUGGGGUUGGGAGGAAGGAUAGAGAGGGAGGGAGAAAUAACAUUAACUGCCUAAGAGAUUUCUCUGAAAGAGCACAUGAAUAUUGAAUGAUGACUUGAUUUUACCAACAAAACCCAUAAUUAUUGCUUUGCAUCAAGGGUGAGGUUGACUUAAAUCAUCAAGACUUGAGAAUGAACUCAUAAUCAGAAAACGUGGACUAUUAAGUUUUGUUUGCUUGCUUGUUUUUGCAUAUAUCUAACCCAAAUCUUGUGUUAUUUCAAAUGGUGCUAUAUUUGCCUAUGCUUGUAAAUUGAAUAACAUCAAUAUGCAAAACUGAUGCAUUUUUCUUUUUAGGGAGAACAUAAUCUCCCAAAGCCACUCCAUUGGUGAUGUGACUUGAUUUUUUUCUGAAUCAAGAAAUUUGGAUAAACUUGGUGAUUCAGAAGGAUUGAUUACUACAGAUAACCCACUUAUGCUUAACUAGGUCUUGAACCAUGAAUGCAUGAACUUUAAUUUGCAAGCCUCUUUCUCCACAGCUAGCCAUGGUUAGAGAGAGAUGUUAUGGAGGAAGGACGAGUAAAACUCCAAGUUAUUAAGGAGGAAAAAGAGGCUGCUUAGUUGAUUAAUCAUUGUAGAAGCCUCCAUCACAUUCAGCCUGGGAGAUUUCAUUCAUUCACACAAACGCCUGCCACUUUCUACACCCAGGAGUUGUAUCAUCCACCAGGCACACUAGAAAUGUGGUUAGUGCUACCAAGGACCUAAUGUUUUAAUCUGGUUUAAUUUUAAUUAAUUUAAAUUCAAAUAGCACAUGUGGCUAGUGGCUACUGUAUUGCACAGUACAGGCAUAAGAACAUUUCUACUCAAAUCUUCAUGAUGAUACGAUGGGCUUUAACAAACCCUUGAUAAUAAAAGGCAAAAGCUGCAAAUGUUAUAGGUCAAUAUUCUCUCCACAAAUCUUUAUUUUUAAGUUUUAAAAAUAUAACCCAAAUGUUUGUGUUCCCUCAACCUCUUCUUCAAGGUCCUAAGAAACAUUGAGGAAAGAGAUAAUCGUAGGAUAGAAUUUUUCUUUUCUUUUCAAGUACCUACAAUUCUCAGAUGUUAGACUGACUUCUUCCAUAACUGACUUUUAAAUCAAAGUAUCCAAAAAUGAAUAUGCAAAUACAUUGUCAAUGAUUUCAAUUCAGGAAGAAGCUGCUCCAAGAUCUCAUUAUUCUGAAUGACAUGGAAGAAUCACGUACACAUUGCCCAUUUCCUAUCUCAUUAUUUUCUGGUGUAGAACUGCAAAUCCCAUUAGCAGAUUUUCCUUCAGCCCCCUGAACAAUCUGUGAGUGACUCACACUUUAGAACAUCUUUGCUGCUGGAUUACUUUGAAAGGCAGAAGUUGGGACGGUGUCAGGGAUAGGCUGAAGAUGAGAGGAAUACCUAACACGUGCCUUGUUUGCAAAUUUUCAUUUCAGUCAUUUAAAAAGUAAUUAAGGAAAGAGGAUCUUGAUAAGAUAGAAUUCAACUCCCCUCUUUUAAUGGAUUCAGGGAAUGAGGAAACAUAAAGAUAAUCCAUCAUCGCAUUACUGCCAUCACCAGAGUUGUCUGUUUCAAAGAGCCUCUUUCCUUCACCAGGAGGACACAGAGCUUCGUGUGCUCAUUUGGGUGUCAAGAAAUAAUAAAAUGAUAAAUCUGCAGACUUGGAAACAGCAGCUCUCAGAUCAGAGCUGAAAAUGUCUGCUCUGUGUUCUGUGGGUCUUUGCUUCUUGUGAGUCCAGACACCUGUCACAAAACUAUGUGGCUGUGGGUGGCCCUAUUUGUAGGAUUUCUAAGCCAUCUGACCCUAGAUAAACCUUGGUGCUUUUUAAGAGCCAGCUUAGGUGCUGGACCAAAUGGUGAAAAAUUGCUUCCUGACUAAUUGAUGAGCCAGGGUGCUUUGAUGUUACAAGUGUGGUUGGAGCCUAAUGCAGCCAUAUCAUGAGGAACACUGUGUCAUCAGCGGGAUGUGGAAAACCACUCCUCAACUGCUUACCAAGAGGCAAACCGUCAAUAAUGAGAUGGUUUGGAAGCUGAGGUUAUGAGUCAUUCAUGUAGAUGCAGGUAGAGGCUGGUCCUAGGCCCCCAGCGACACUGAUAUAAAAGAAUUUAUAAGCAUGUAUUUUAGGACAAUUUUACAAAAUAACAGAAAAUAUCCAUUGAGUCCUUAGUGUGUUUUUCACACAUUAUCUUUAACCUCACCACACCAUUUUUGAUAGGUUCAAGUAUUUUUUUUCUCUUCCCCACAUGAAAGAAGCAUGACUUGGAGAGGUUAAAAUUCCCACCCAAGAUCAUGCAUUUAAAAAGUGAGAAAACCAAUAUUCAAAUUUAGGUCUUUCUGACCCCAGAGCCUGUGAUUUUUCUGUUUCACUAAGGCCAGUUGCAGAGAUAUGCUUGUCUCAGCUGUUUUCCAGUAUGAUGUAUCUGAAGGACAAGAGGAAGAAUUUCAAAAAAGUCUCCAAUUUUCUUGCCUUAGAGCAUCUACCGAAAGAAAAAAAAAAAUGAGAGAGAACCCAAAGUCAAAGAUAAGAGCCCUGGAAGAAUCUGCUCUGAAGAAUGGCCUUGGGGCCAACUCAGUAUUUACUCAAUUCAUAAAGGAACUGAGCUGGAGUCCUCAUUAGUUGGGUGUGUCCUUGGUAAACCAAUUAUUAAACCCUGGUAUGAGGGAUGAAAUGGCUUUGUGUUUAGUUUUUGGCUUUAUCAAUUUCUGAUGACUAUCCACAAAAAUUAUAAAUACAUAAACAUUUUUCUACAGCGAUUCUUCUUUCAGAAAAGUAACCUACAGAUAUACUUGUAUAUGUACUAAAGGAUGAAUGUACAAGGUUGUUCCUUGGAGCGUUUUGUAGUAAAAAAUAGGAAACAACCCAAGUUUUUAUCAAUAGAGAACUGAUUCAAUAAAUUAUAGAACAUCCAUACAAGAGAAUACUAUAAACUAUAAAGAAGAAUGAGAAAGCUUCCUAUAAAAUGAUACAGAAAGAGCUCUAGGAUAUAUAGUUAAUUGAAAAAAGGAAGGUAUUAAACAUUGUUUAUAACAUGGUAACUUUUGUGUAAAAGAAGUAAGAAGAAAAGAAGCUCAUGCUUCCUGAUAGAACAUAAAGAGACUAUGGAAGAAACUAAGAAUAGUGGUUACCAUGGCGCUGGAAAGAAAGAGCAUGGCAGAUGAGGGACAAGGAUGGUAUGGAGUGUUUUACCCGUUUUGGAUUUUCAAACAUGCAAAUAGUAUUCAAGGAAUAAAUCAAAAGAUGAAAAUGACAAGUCCUAUGCUAAAAGAUACAUUCUCUGAGAACAUAUUCACAAUAGGGCUGUGCUUUUUUUCUCUGAUGAAGAACACCAGACUCUUAAGCCAAUGGCCAGGGUCGAAAUGCUUACUUUGCCACUUCCUAACGGUGUUAAAUUUUCUGAGUCUCAGUUUUCUCAUUUUAAAUAAAAAAGAAGAAAUAACAUC